rnacentral:rRNA from 1 species
GACGAACGCUUGCGGCCGGCCUAACACAUGCAAGUCGAACGAGUGGCGGACGGGUGAGUAAUGUCUGGGACACUGCCUGAUGGUGGGGGAUAACUACUGGUAACGGUAGCUAAUACCGCAUACCAUCGGAUGUGCCCAGAUGGGAUUAGCUAGUAGGUGGGGUAAAGGCUCACCUAGGCGACGAUCCCUAGCUGGUCUGAGAGGAUGACCAGCUACACUGGAACUGAGACACGGGCCAGACUACUACGGGAGGCUGGAGUGGAGAGUAUGACAUGAAGAGGGGAAGCCGAGUGCAACCAUGCCGCGUGUAUGAAGAAGGCCAACGAGUUGUAGAGGACUUUGAGAGUGGGGGCGUUACCCGCAGAAGAAGAAUCGGCUAACUCCGUACCAGCAGCCGCGGUAAUAC